GUACGCCUCCCCCUGAUGCCUCUUCUCCAGGAGGCAAGAAGAUUUUAAAUGGAGGGACUCCAGACAUUCCUUCCAGUGGCCUACUAUCAGGCCAGGCUCAGGAGAACCCAGGUUAUCCAUAUUCUGAUAGUUCUUCUAUUCUUGGUGAGAACCCCCACAUAGGUAUAGACAUGAUUGACAACGACCAAGGAUCAAGUAGUCCCAGUAAUGAUGAGGCAGCAAUGGCUGUCAUCAUGAGCCUCUUGGAAGCAGAUGCUGGACUGGGUGGCCCUGUUGACUUUAGUGACUUGCCAUGGCCGCUGUAAACACUACAUGUUGCUUUGGCAACAGCUAUAGUAUCAAAGUGCAUUACUGGUGGAGUUUUACAGUCUGUGAAGCUUACUGGAUAAGGAGAGAAUAGCUUUUAUGUACUGACUUCAUAAAAGCCAUCUCAGAGCCAUUGAUACAAGUCAAUCUUACUAUAUGUAACUUCAGACAAAGUGGAACUAAGCCUGCUCCAGUGUUUCCUCAUCAUUGAUUAUUGGGCUAGCUGUGGAUAGCUUGCAUUAAUUGUAUAUUUUGGAUUCUGUUUGUGUUGAAUUUUUUAAUCAUUGUGCACAGAAGCAUCAUUGGUAGCUUUUAUAUGCAAAUGGUCAUUUCAGAUGUAUGGUGUUUUUACACUACAAAGAAGUCCCCCAUGUGGAUAUUUCUUAUACUAAUUGUAUCAUAAAGCCGUUUAUUCUUCCUUGUAAGAAUCCUUUACUAUAAAUAUGGGUUAAAGUAUAAUGUACUAGACAGUUAAAUAUUUUUAAUAAAUGUUUCCCUUGUUCUAUAAAUACUGUUCACAUUUCAAAUAAUUAGAAAAAAAAUCCUACGUGUUGCAGGGCUGGAUUAUAAGUUUCUACAGUGGGUGUUCAAGGAUGAUCUACGCCAGUAGCAUUUGUGGUGCUUUUCUGGCCUUCAUAACGAUUCUGGGCUUGCAUAAUUUCCCCAUGCUACUAGCUUAGCUGUGUUGUUAAAAUAGUUCAUUUAUAAAUUGUUGCAAUUUUAAUUUAUGUGAGAACAAAGAUGUUACUGCUUAUCCACAAACAUCGAAUCCUCUGAAAUUAUAAAUUCAAGAUUAUAUUUAACAAAUUGGCUUCUCUAAUGCUGCACCUCUCUAAUACUACUUCAGUUAUAUAGUAAGUGACCCCAGUCCUAAAGCACCUAAAUAUUUGAUCCCUUCUUGAAUUGGACCACAGAAUAUUUAGAAUAGCAUUUGCAUAAAUAAUUUGCUAAGCAAAGUAGCAUGGUAUAAUGGAAAAAGCACUGAACUAGUAUGAGAAACUGGCUCUGAAACUUAGGGUGACUAUAUGACCUAGUAAAGUCAUUUUGCCCUUCAUAUCAAGUUGGACUAGAAAAUACUCUUUUCAGCUCUAAUAAAUAUUGUUU
rnacentral:lncRNA from 1 species